rnacentral:rRNA from 1 species
AGAACGAACGCUGGCGGCAUGCCUAAUACAUGCAAGUCGAACGAACUCUUCGGAGUUAGUGGCGCACGGGUGCGUAACGCGUGGGAAUCUGCCCCUUGGUUCGGAAUAACAGUUGGAAACGACUGCUAAUACCGGAUGAUGACGAAAGUCCAAAGAUUUAUCGCCAAGGGAUGAGCCCGCGUAGGAUUAGCUAGUUGGUGAGGUAAAGGCUCACCAAGGCAACGAUCCUUAGCUGGUCUGAGAGGAUGAUCAGCCACACUGGGACUGAGACACGGCCCAGACUCCUACGGGAGCGAGCAGGUAGGGAAUAGUUAGGACAAGUGGGACGAAAGCCUGAUCCAGCAAUGCCGCGUGAGUGAUGAAGCGUUAGGUAGUAAGUCUCUUUACCGAGAU